UGGGGAAUAUUGCACAAUGGACGGAAGUCUGAUGCAGCGACGCCGCGUGGGGGAUGAAGGCUUUCGGGUUGUAAACCCCUUUCAGUACAGAAGAAGCUUAAUGGUGACGGUAUGUGCAGAAGAAGCGCCGGCUACCUACGUGCCAGCAGCCGCGGUAAUACGUAGGGCGCGAGCGUUGUCCGGAAUUAUUGGGCGUAAAGAGCUCGUAGGCGGUUUGUCGCGUCUGCUGUGAAAGACCGGGGCUUAACUCCGGGGCUGCAGUGGGUACGGGCAGGCUGGAGUGCGGUAGGGGUAACCGGAAUUCCUGGUGUAGCGGUGGAAUGCGCAGAUAUCAGGAGGAACACCGAUGGCGAAGGCAGGUUACUGGGCCGUUACUGACGCUGAGGAGCGAAAGCAUGGGGAGCGAACAGG
rnacentral:rRNA from 1 species